UAGAAGCAGAGAGAGAUGGGCCAACAGAGAUAGAGAAAUCGAUAGAGAGAGAGACUCAGCCAGAGGGAUGCUUCGCCAAGACCUCCAUCGGCAACAGUCUCUCCCCGCAUGCCUCCCCCAAGCUGUACUGAAAUUCUUGGCCAACGGUGUCUUGAUGUACUACAAUACUGCACUGAAUGACAAGCUGUAGCGACCCGAAGCUGGAUUGGUCUUCAAGCACCUACAAGAGCCAACGAGAUUAUCUGCAUGGUCUAUAAUAUUUUCUUCGAAGAUUCAGAAAAGGCCAGAGUUAAUUUGAAGCUUGGAGGAUGAAGCAAUCAGUCAAAGUGUAGCAA